rnacentral:rRNA from 1 species
UACGAACCACCCAAACGUUAUUCGGAAUUACUGGGCUUAAAGGGUGCGUAGGCGGUGCGGAAAGUUGGGUGUGAAAUACCUCAGCUCAACUGAGGAAUGGCGCUCAAAACUACCGUGCUCGAGGGAGAUAGAGGUGAGCGGAACUUAGGGUGGAGCGGUGAAAUGCGUUGAUAUCCUAAGGAACACCGGUGGCGAAAGCGGCUCACUGGAUCUCUUCUGACGCUGAGGCACGAAAGCUAGGGUAGCGAACGGG